CUCGGAUCAGGUAGGGAUACCCGCUGAACUUAAGCAUAUAA
rnacentral:rRNA from 1 species